rnacentral:sRNA from 1 species
GCUAGGCAUGGUGGUGCACGCCUGUAAUCCCAGCUACUCAGGAGGCUGAGGCAGGAGAAUCGCUUGAACCCGGGAGGCAGAGGGUUGCAGUGAGCCAAGAUCGUGCCAUUACACUCCAGCCUGGGCAACAAGAGGGAAACUCCAUCUCCAAAAAAAGAAAAAAAAAAAAAAUGGCCAGGCGCGGUGGCUCAUGCCUGUAAUCCCAGCACUUUGGGAGGCUGAGGUGAGCGGAUCACGAAGUCAGGAGAUCGAGACCAUCCUGGCUAAC